GACGAACGCUGGCGGCGUGCCUAAUACAUGCAAGUCGAACGCAGUGGGGACGGGUGAGUAACACGUGGGUAACCUCCCAUCAGAGGGGAUAACACGUGGAAACAGGUGCUAAACCGAUACUGAUGGAUGGACCCGUGGUGCAUUAGCUAGUUGGUGAGGUAACGGCUCACCAAGGCCACGAUGCAUAGCCGACCUGGUAGGUUGAACGGCCACACUGGUACUGAGACACGGCCAAGAUUCCUACGGGAGGCAGCAGUAGGGAAUCUUCCGCAAUGGGCGAAAGCCUAACAGAGCAACCCCGCGUGAUUGAUGAGGGUCUUCGUAUCGUAAAACUCUGUUAUUAGGGAAGCGGUACCUAAUCAGAAAGCCACGGCUAACUACGUGCCAGCAGCCGCGGUAAUAC
rnacentral:rRNA from 1 species